rnacentral:tRNA from 1 species
UCCGACAUCGUUCAUCGGUUAGGAUAAGCGGUUCUCAUCCGCUGGAGCUGGGUUCGACUCCCCGUGUCGGAA